rnacentral:rRNA from 1 species
UACAGAGGGGGCAAGCGUUGUUCGGAAUUACUGGGCGUAAAGGGCGCGUAGGCGGCCUGCUAAGUCGAACGUGAAAUCCCCGGGCUCAACCCGGGGACUGCGUCCGAUACUGGUGGGCUUGAAUCCGGGAGAGGGAUGUGGAAUUCCAGGUGUAGCGGUGAAAUGCGUAGAUAUCUGGAGGAACACCGGUGGCGAAGGCGGCAUCCUGGACCGGUAUUGACGCUGAGGCGCGAAAGCCAGGGGAGCAAACGGG